UUCUUACGUUAGCGGCGGACGGGUGAGUAACACGUGGGUAACCUACCUAUAAGACUGGGAUAACUUCGGGAAACCGGAGCUAAUACCGGAUAAUAUUUCGAACCGCAUGGUUCGAUAGUGAAAGGUGGUUUUGCUAUCACUUAUAGAUGGACCCGCGCCGUAUUAGCUAGUUGGUAAGGUAACGGCUUACCAAGGCGACGAUACGUAGCCGACCUGAGAGGGUGAUCGGCCACACUGGAACUGAGACACGGUCCAGACUCCUACGGGAGGCAGCAGCA
rnacentral:rRNA from 1 species